GAUGAACGCUAGCUACAGGCUUAACACAUGCAAGUCGAGGGGAAACGAUAUUGGAAGCUUGCUUCCGAUAGGCGUCGACCGGCGCACGGGUGAGUAACGCGUAUCCAACCUGCCCAUCACUUGGGGAUAACCUUGCGAAAGUAAGACUAAUACCCAAUGACGUCUCUAGAAGACAUCUGAAAGAGAUUAAAGAUUUAUCGGUGAUGGAUGGGGAUGCGGCUGAUUAGCUUGGUGGCGGGGUAACGGCCCACCAAGGAGACGAUCAGUAGGGGGGCUGAGAUGAAGGGCCACCACAUUGGAACUGAGACACGGUCCAAACUGCGACGGGAGGCUGAAGUGAGGAAUAUUGGUCAAUGGACGAGAGUCUGAACCAGCCAAGUAGCGUGCAGGAUGACGGCCCUAUGGGUUGUAAACUGCUUUUAUAAGGGAAUAAAGUGAGAGUCGUUACUCUUUUUGCAUGUACCUUAUGAAUAAGGACCGGCUAAUUCCGUGCCAGCAGCCGCAGUAA
rnacentral:rRNA from 1 species